UGAGGAAUAUUGGUCAAUGGGCGAAAGCCUGACGCAGCGACGCCGCGUGAGGGAUGAAGGUCUUCGGAUCGUAAACCUCUGUCAGCAGGGAAGAAAUUUACAUGUGCUAAUCAGCGUGUAAUUGACGGUACCUGCAAAGGAAGCACCGGCUAACUCCGUGCCAGCAGCCGCGGUAAUACGGAGGGUGCGAGCGUUAAUCGGAAUUACUGGGCGUAAAGCGCUCGUAGGUGGCAUAUCAAGUCAAGGGUGAAAUCCCCGCGCUCACGUGGAACUGGCCUUUGAAAUCAUGGUAGACUUGAGUGUGUGAGAGGAUAGUGGAAUUCCAGGUGUAGGAGUGAAAUCCGUAGAUAUCUGGAGGAACAUCAGUGGCGAAGGCGACUAUCUGGCACAUAACUGACACUGAGGAGCGAAAGCGUGGGUAGCAAACAGGAUUAGAUACC
rnacentral:rRNA from 1 species